rnacentral:rRNA from 1 species
GAUUAACGCUGGCGGCGUGCAUAACACAUGCAAGUCGAACGAUGAAACUUAGUAGACUUCUUCGGAAAGACACUAAGCGGAUUAGUGGCGAACGGGUGAGUAACGCGUGAGUAACCUGCCUUACACAAGGGGAUAGCCUUUGGAAACGAAGAAUAAUACCCUAUAAAACUAUAAAAGCACAUGCUAGAAUGGUCAAAGUGCUAGCGGUGUAAGAUGGACUUGCGUCUGAUUAGCUAGUUGGUGAGAUAAAAGCUCACCAAGGCAACGAUCAGUAGCCGGCUUGAGAGGGUGUACGGCCACAUUGGGACUGAGACACGGCCCAGACUCCUACGGGAGGCAGCAGUGGGGAAUUUUGUACAAUGGGGGAAACCCUGAUGCAGCGACGCCGCGUGAUUUAGAAGGCCUUCGGGUUGUAAAAAUCUUUUGUAUAGGAAGAAAAUGACAGUACUAUACGAAUAAGGUCCGGCUAAUUACGUG